GAUGAACGCUGGCGGCGUGCCUAAUACAUGCAAGUCGAGCGAACGGACGAGAAGCUUGCUUCUCUGAUGUUAGCGGCGGACGGGUGAGUAACACGUGGAUAACCUACCUAUAAGACUGGGAUAACUUCGGGAAACCGUAGCUAAUACCGGAUAAUAUUUUGAACCGCAUGGUUCAAAAGUGAAAGACGGUCUUGCUGUCACUUAUGGAUGGAUCCGCGCUGCAUUAGCUAGUUGGUAAGGUAACGGCUUACCAAGGCAACGAUGCAUAGCCGACCUGAGAGGGUGGUCGGCCACCCUGGAACUGAGACACGGUCCAGACUCCUACGGGAGGCAGCAGUAGGGAAUCUUCCGCAAUGGGCGAAAGCCUGACGGAGCAACGCCGCGUGAGUGAUGAAGGUCUUCGGAUCGUAAAACUCUGUUAUUAGGGAGGAACAUAUGUGUAAGUAACUGUGCACAUCUUGACGGUACCUAAUCAGAAAGCCCCGGCUAACUACGUG
rnacentral:rRNA from 1 species